rnacentral:lncRNA from 1 species
GUUGCCUAGCGCCCAGGAUUCUGAGUCCAAGAACCAAGUUUGUCUUCUCAAACCAUGGAAAGCGUAAGUUGGGAAACUGAAAAAAUACUGGUCAAGGAAUCUGCCCUU